rnacentral:rRNA from 1 species
AUCUCCAGCCCUAUCGCCGUGCAGCUCUCGCCUGGUUUUCUACUGAUGCUAAGCAGGGUUGAGCCUGGUCAGUACCUGGAUGGGAGAACUAGGAAAACAAAGGUUGCUGCUGUGA